rnacentral:tRNA from 1 species
UCGCGCCCGGGGCGGGCCAUGAGUGGCUGCGAGCCGCGCUCGACCUCAACCCCGGGUUCUCGCCCCGGGGCGCCGCC